GACGAACGCUGGCGGCGUGCUUAACACAUGCAAGUCGAACGGAAAGGCCCUGCUUUUGUGGGGUUCUCGAGUGGCGAACGGGUGAGUAACACGUGAGUAACCUGCCCUUGACUUUGGGAUAACUUCAGGAAACUGGGGCUAAUACCGGAUAUGAUCUCCUGCUGCUUGGUUGGGGUUGGAAAGUUUCGGCGGUUGGGGAUGGUCUCGCGGCUUAUCAGCUUGUUGGUGGGGUAGUUGCUUACCAAGGGUUUGACGGGUAUCCGGCCUGUGAGGGUGACCGGGGAAAAUGGGACGGAGAUAGGGGCCAGAAUGGAACGGGAGGAAGCAGUGGGGAAUAUUGCACAAUGGGAGGAAGGAUGAUGCAGGAAAGCCGCGUGCGGGAUGACGGCCUUCGGGUUGUAAACAGAUUUAGAAUGUGAAGAAGAGUGAGUGACGGUAAUGGGUAAAGAAGCACCGGCUAACUACGUG
rnacentral:rRNA from 1 species